CAUCGGGUUUUACCCGAUGCUUUGAUAAAUCGUCCUUUCAGGACU
rnacentral:sRNA from 1 species